AUACCUUCAUGGAACUUCUGGAGUUCCCCACCAAUGAAGGCUUUCUCUGCCCCAUCUGUGGGAUAGAGCCCAAGCAGGUUGUCUUGGAUGGGACCACUCUUGGUUACCACCAGAGGUACAUUGAUCGCAUCCUGCUCCCUGAAAAAAAAUUACGGGAUUGGAUGGGGAGAUAUGUAAAGG